UAAAAAUUCAUCUAUAACAAUAAAAAAAUUCAAAAUUUGAUUCUUGAUAUUAUAAAUAAUUUAAUGCCUAACAAAAAAGUCAAAAAAAAAACACAAUCAUCAAGAUCACUAUUCAUCAGGAAAACCACAUAGCUUUUAUAUAAAUAUAUCUAACUACAUGGAACUAUACAUAACUACAGUUAUCUAUACGACUAAAUUUGACUCAAAUCGCACUUGUCAACACGGGAACCGCUUGUUUUGAACAACGAACACAAUCCACUCCGCAAAAACUUACUACAUAGUAGUUCAAACACCAAAACCUGUGAAAAGGAAAAAGAGUUAAACAAACAACGAAUUUUGCUUCAAAUUUAAAUGUGCACACACGCACUAUCACCUACUGGUAUACAUAGAUACUCCUCACAUAACUCAUACAUGACUACAUAUGACUACAUGACUACAUAGUUUAUAUAUAACUAUAUAUUACUACAUGUUACU
rnacentral:lncRNA from 1 species